GCUGACGUAGCUCAGUUGGUUAGAGCGUGGGACUCAUAAACCCAAGGUCGGUGGUUCAACUCCACCCGUCAGCACCA
rnacentral:tRNA from 1 species